CACACACAGGGAUGGCGAGUGGCGCUGCAGGCUAAGCCUCUGUAUCUGUGAUCAGAAGGUUGCUGGUUCAAGCCCAGCCUUGGCCAGAUAAUCACAGGGCAUUUUUUUUUUUUGCCAAAAUUUUUUUUUGAAAAAUGGACUGGUGUGUGGCUAAUCCUCUGUGCUUGUGAUCAAGUCAGUGUGCUCGAGCCUGCCCUCAGCACAAUAGCUACAGGGCAGGCCCUCGAGCACACUGACUGAUCCUGCAGUGUGAUCUCUCUCUCACUCCACACUCACCACACACACCACACACACUCCACACACUCCACACACUCCACACGCCACAGGGCCAGUCAGUGCUUUCAAGGGUCUGCCCGGCAACCACCCUGCUGAGGGCGGGCUUGAACCACCAACCUCAACUUUCCGAUCACAAGCACAGCGACUUAGCCCAGUGAGCCACGCACCAGUCCCAUUCAGCCCUGCUCUGAAUUUAACUUUUGACUCUCAAAUACGUACGGGUCAGAGCAGAUCCAGUUUGUAACACAGUGUCACCCAUAAGCUACUAAUCAAAGCACACUUCACUACAUGUGCCGGUCAUUUUUAGUUUUAAAGUUAUUAAACGAUUACUAUAUGGAUAAACACGAACAUUCAAUACUUAAUCAAAAUUCGCCCCUAAAGAAAUCUGGAAAACUAAGGGAUGUGAAAUAGCUAGUUGCCAUGAACCCAAAAUGUUAAACCAGCAUCUAAUUAGAGCAGAAAUUACCAAUUUUCUUAGCUAAUACCAAGAUUUUCCACAAACUGUGAGAUGGCUCGUACCGCAAAAAUAAUCGGUGUACAUCGUUAUCUGUGUAUUGGACAUGAAAAAUCUGUCACUAAUAAUUGCAUACCUUGCUUUUAUUAAAAGAUAUUAAAGUCGGAAACCUGAAUAUGGAACAUAAUGGUAACUACCGCGACCUGCCGCUGUCGAUUCACCGGCUAACGAUGCGCCGACCGAAUUUAGCGGACCAGCUCCGCGGGGGGGGAUUCGUCCGCUUUAAAAUCACACUUUAAUCACCUCAUAAUAGCCUUAUAUCAGAGACUGUCUUUCAUAAAUUAAUAUCUAGCUAAACAAGUAAAAGCCUAGUCAUGACAGACCAUAAUUACGCUCUAGACAGUCCGAGGUAUUUAUUUUAUGAGCUAAAUCACGCCCCGGAUAGAGUGAAUUAUUUGACUAAAUCGUUUGCUGUUUUAGUGAGUUUUCAUGUUUCUCUCCCAGGUGUUGGGAUUGCACUACAUCUCCCAUGAGGCUAUGCGCAGAGGGAGCGCGCGCACUAGGAAUACAAAGAAAGCUGGAGGUGCCGGUGGGGAAUCCCCAGCUUUAUACGUCACAUAGGUAGAUGACGUCACUCUACAGUGUAAAAAUGUACUUUAUCCUAACUGCCCCUCAACUACGUGGGUCUAUAAUAACAGGUCAAACAGAGCUACUGAUGAACUGGUCGCUCAUGGGAAGAUCAGAGACCCACAGAAACACAGGAGACUAGGUUUGCUGACUGACUGCUCUCUACACAUUAAUAAUGUCAGCGCUGAAGACGCUGGAUCGUAUACAUGUCGGCAGUAUAUCAAUGCAUCACGUUACGGAAAUGAUGCUGCUGCUUCCCUGUCUGUUCUUACCAUGAGAAAGUCGCAGUCCGAUGGCACCGUGACCCUCCAGUGUCUCCUGUACACCUUUCAUGGUCCUGGACGGUGUGAUUAUCCCCCAUUUCAUACUGUGACUCUGUGGUGGGUUAGUGAUACAGACCCCCCGGGGCAGAUAGAUCCCAGCUCCCAGACACACACAGACCCCCCAGGGCAGAUAGAUCCCAGCUCCCAGACACACACAGACCCCCCAGGGCAGAUAGAUCCCAGCUCCCAGACACACACAGACGCCCCGGGGCAGAUAGAUCCCUGCUCCCAGAUACACACAGACUCCCCGGGGCAGAUAGAUCCCUGCUCCCAGACACACAGACCACCCGGGGCAGAUAGAUCCCAGCUCCCAGACACACACACAGACCCCCUGGGGCAGAUAGAUCCCUGCUCUCAGAAACACACAGACGCCCUGGGGCAGAUAGAUCCUAUCUC